rnacentral:rRNA from 1 species
UACGUAGGGUGCAAGCGUUAAUCGGAAUUACUGGGCGUAAAGCGUGCGCAGGCGGCUUUGCAAGACAGAUGUGAAAUCCCCGGGCUCAACCUGGGAACUGCAUUUGUGACUGGCAGGCUAGAGUAUGGCAGAGGGGGGUAGAAUUCCACGUGUAGCAGUGAAAUGCGUAGAGAUGUGGAGGAAUACCGAUGGCGAAGGCAGCCCCU